GGUGGCUCAGUGGUAGAGUGCUUGGCUUGCAUGCAUGAGGACCUGGGUUCGAUUCUCAGCACCA
rnacentral:tRNA from 1 species